CCUACGGGUGGCAGCAGUGAGGAAUAUUGGUCAAUGGGCGCGAGCCUGAACCAGCCAAGUCGCGUGAAGGAUGACUGCCCUACGGGUUGUAAACCUCUUUUAUAAAGGAAUAAAGUGAGGCACGUGUGCCUUUUUGUAUGUACCUUAUGAAUAAGGAUCGGCUAACUCCGUGCCAGCAGCCGCGGUAAUACGGAGGAUCCGAGCGUUAUCCGGAUUUAUUGGGUUUAAAGGGUGCGUAGGCGGGGUGUUAAGUCAGCGGUGAAAGUUUGUGGCUCAACCGUAAAAUUGCCGUUGAAACUGGGGAGCUUGAGUAUGUGUGAGGCAGGCGGAAUGCGUGGGGUAGCGGUGAAAUGCUUAGAUAUCACGCAGAACCUCGAUUGGGAAGGCAGCCUGCCAAGCCACGACUGACGCUGAUGCACGAAAGCGUGGGGAUCAAACAGGAGUAGAUACCCCUGUAGUC
rnacentral:rRNA from 1 species